UUUAUUUAUUUAUGAUAGACGGGGGGGGGGGGGCAGAGACACAGGCACAGGAGGAGGAGGGAGAAGCAGGCUCCAUGCCUGGAGCCCGACGUGGGACUGGAUCCCGGGACUCUAGGUUGGUGCCCUGGGCCAAAGGCAGGCGCUAAACUGCUGAGCCACCCAGGGAUCCUCGGGGUAUUUAGUUUUAUACAUGAUUCACAUCUACUUUAUUACUAUAAUAUUUCCCUUUGCAUUUCUUAAUGCUAAUCGCUUCUAUUUAGUUAUAUUUUCGUUUUCCUUUUUUAAACUCUUCAUUGAUAAUUAUCUGCUCUCUUGUGCUAGAUAAUAUUGAUACAUUUUGACUAAAAUAAAAAUCAACAUUAAUGAUGAUCAUAAUUGUGCUUAUUUUCCUUUGUAGGAAGAUGAUCAUUUUGACAGGAAAAGAUAAUCUCAACUCAAGUAUUCAAAAGAAAAAAGCAACUAAAUUUGGAAAAAUAGCACUUGGUGAUUCUUUCUACCUGUCUGACAAUUGCUUGAUAAUAUAAAAUAAAACAUACUGUGAAAUACUGAUCCACUAAAAAUUAUGAAUUCUGGCUGUUUAUAUAGUAGUUAAUUCAGGCAACCCAGAAAAGUAUUUCUAGUUGUUGUUGUUGUUGUUGUUGGUGUUGUUGUUGUUUUAACAAUAAUAGGAACAGAUUUUUGGAUUCAUUGUUUUCUGCAUUCGUAAUUUGGCUAAUCAAUGCUUUAAGUUCUUGCUACAAAAUUAAUGCUUGCCUAGAAGAAUUUUAUAUGUAUUCAGUGCAUAGUAUGUCUAUAAAAUCUAUUUCUAAAAUUAACAUUACUGUCUAUGGAAGAGAAUCUUCAACCUAAAAUUCAGAUAUUAGAAAAUUCAUUGACCUCUGAAGCAUUUUUCAAAAGAAAAAGUAGAAAUGAUUAUGUUGGCUCAAUAUUAAUAUGACUUACAACUAUACAUAAUGUUUUUUACUUAUAGUCCCAAGUUCAUGCUUUACAAAGAAUCAAGUCAAAAUUUGUUUCCCAUACUGUAAAUUUGUUUUAUUAUACUGUAUAAUUGAAGAAAGGAGUUUUACAAAGAUAUUUUACAUUAUAGGAAUACUCUAAUGAAAUAAUGCUUUAUAGUUAAUUUUUUAAAAAUCCCAAAACUCUAUAACAUGCCCCAUUUGAGUCAGAAUGCUGUAUCAUUGAAAUUUUGAAGGUAAAUGAACAAAUCAAGUGUUUCUGCUUGGUUUCCCAGCCUUGGGGUAAACUCAGGCCUAUCCAUCCUGAAAAUGAGAAGAAAGAAAAAAAAAAUAUUAUGUAUAUUAUACCCAGAGUAAAUUUAAAAAUGACCAAUGGCAUUCCUA
rnacentral:lncRNA from 1 species